CGUGGAGCGAUUUGUCUGGUUUAUUCCGAUAACGAGCGAGACUCUAGCCUACUAACUAGUCCACACAUUGCCUCUGUGUGUGCGUACUUCUUAGAGGGAUUUUCGGUGUUCAGCCGCACGAGAUUGAGCAAUAACAGGUCUGUGAUGCCCUUAGAUGUCCGGGGCUGCACGCGCGCUACACUGGCGAAAUCAGCGUGCUUGUCCUUUCUCGAAAGAGAUUGGUAAACCAUUGAAAAUUUGCCGUGAUUGGGAUCGGAAAUUGCAACUAUUUUCCGUGAACGAGGAAUUCCAAGUAAGUGCGAGUCAUCAACUCGCGUUGAAUACGUCCCUGCCCUUUGUAC
rnacentral:rRNA from 1 species